rnacentral:rRNA from 1 species
AUUGAACGCUUGCGGCAUGCCUUACACAUGCAAGUCGAACGGUAACAGGUUAAGCUGACGAGUGGCGAACGGGUGAGUAAUACAUCGGAACGUGCCCAGACGUGGGGGAUAGCUCGGCGAAAGCCGGAUUAAUACCGCAUAAGCUCUGAGGAGGAAAGCGGGGGACCGUAAGGCCUCGCGCGUUUGGAGCGGCCGAUGGCAGAUUAGGUAGUUGGUGGGGUAAAGGCUUACCAAGCCUACGAUCUGUAGCUGGUCUGAGAGGACGACCAGCCACACGGGGACUGAGACACGGCCCAGACUCCUACGGGAGGCAGCAGUGGGGAAUUUUGGACAAUGGGCGAAAGCCUGAUCCAGCAAUGCCGCGUGCAGGAUGAAGGCCUUCGGGUUGUAAACUGCUUUUGUACGGAACGAAAAGGCGCCUACUAAUACUGGGUGUUGAUGACGGUACCGUAAGAAUAAGCACCGGCUAACUACGUGCCAGCCGCCGCAGUAAUAC